AUUGAACGCUGGCGGCAGGCCUAACACAUGCAAGUCGAACGAGUGGCGGACGGGUGAGUAAUGUCUGGGAAACUGCCUGAUGGAGGGGGAUAACUACUGGAAACGGGAGCUAAGAACGCAGACCAUGGGAGGUGAAAAGAUGGGAUUAGCUAGUAGGUGGGGUAAAGGCUCACCUAGGCGACGAUCCCUAGCUGGUCUGAGAGGAUGACCAGCAACACUGGAACUGAGACACGGUCCAGACUCCUACGGGAGGCAGCAGUGGGGAAUAUUGCACAAUGGGCGCAAGCCUGAUGCAGCCAUGCCGCGUGUAUGAAGAAGGCCUUCGGGUUGUAAAGUACUUUCAGCGGGGAGGCUUUUCCCGCCCCUGAAGCACCGGCUAACUCCGUGCCAGCAGCCGCGGUACUAC
rnacentral:rRNA from 1 species